rnacentral:misc_RNA from 1 species
UCCGUUUUGUCAACGGCAGUCUCUCUAGAGUGCCCAACUUAAUGCUGGCAACUAAAGAUAAGGGUUGCGCUCGUUGCGGGACUUAACCCAACAUCUCACGACACGAGCUGACGACAGCCAUGCAGCACCUCUACUACUGUCUCUUGCGAGAAGGCGAUAUUUCUACCGCUGGUCAGUAGCGGUUCAAGCCCAGGUAAGGUUCUUCGCGUUGCGUCGAAUUGAACCACAUGUUCCACCGCUUGUGCGGGCCCCCGUCAAUUCCUUUGAGUUUCAGCCUUGCGAUCGUACUUCCCAGGUGGAUUACUUAAUGCUUUCGGAUAACGGAGAGGAAGGUGGGGAUGACG